rnacentral:rRNA from 1 species
AUUGAACGCUGGCGGCAGGCCUAACACAUGCAAGUCGAGCGGAUGAAGGGAGCUUGCUCCUGGAUUCAGCGGCGGACGGGUGAGUAAUGCCUAGGAAUCUGCCUUGUCGUGGGGGCUAACGUCCGGAAACGGGCGCUAAUAUCGCAUACGUCCUGAGGGUGAAAGUGGGGGAUCUUCGGACAUCACGCUAUCAGAUGAGCCUAGGUCGGAUUAGCUAGUUGGUGGGGUAAAGGCCUACCAAGGCGACGAUCCGUAACUGGUCUGAGAGGAUGAUCAGCCACACUGGAACUGAGACACGGUCCAGACUCCUACGGGAGGCAGCAGUGGGGAAUAUUGGACAAUGGGCGAAAGCCUGAUCCAGCCAUGCCGCGUGUGUGAAGAAGGUCUUCGGAUUGUAAAGCACUUUAAGUUGGGAGGAAGGGCAGUAAGUUAAUACCUUGCUGUUUUGACGUUACCAACAGAAUAAGCACCGGCUAACUUCGUG